CCCUAGCCCUGAUAGAAGCGGUAUCCUUUUAUUUUUUCCUUAAAAAAUAAAAGAUACAAGCGGAUAGCAGGAAUAAGC
rnacentral:sRNA from 1 species